CAGGGAGACAACAAAAUGUUUAAUAUUAUUAUUUUGUCACCUUAGGUCGAUCGGUAUCUCACGUUUUUAAUUUAUUAAGAAUUUCAUUUCCUAAGUUUUUCUAGGUCACACCCAUUAUUUUUCCUGGGCCAUUAGCUCAGGUGGUUAGAGCGCACCCCUGAUAAGGGUGAGGUCCCUGGUUCAAGUCCAGGAUGGCCCAUAUCUCUAUGUUGGGGGUAUAGCUCAGUUGGUAGAGCGCCUGCUUUGCAAGCAGGAUGUCAGCGGUUCGAGUCCGCUUACCUCCACUGAUCACCACCUCUUCCAUAAUCGGUAGAAAGGAAAUUUUUUGAGUUGUGAUCAAAUUCUGAAAGAAUCUAGCCUCCUAAUGAAAUCAUUAAGAUGCUGGACUCAUUGAAUUAAUUUCAUUGUUUUCAGAGAACCUUGACAACUGCAUAGAUUAUUUUUAAAGACAAUAAGCAUCUUUAAUGAUGCAGAUUUAUUAUUUGUGCAAAUGCAUUAAUAACAAUUCUAUUAAGCUGAUGCUUCAAUAUUUGAAGUUAUU
rnacentral:tRNA from 1 species